rnacentral:lncRNA from 1 species
UUUAUAGAUCAACUUUCCAAGGUCAUUAUUUAUUUUUGCAGUUCAGUGCAUAGCUUAAUGUUGAGGUAUUUACUGUUCUUUUACCUUUUGUUUUAAGGUACUUAAAAAGUAGCAUUGGUUCUUGUACCAUUCAUUGUUAUGUUUGUCCUCAUUAGUUGAUUGUUGUGUGUUAAACAGACAUCCCUGGAGCUUAUUCUCCACACUCUGUGAAUCCACUCAUUAAUCACCAGUCACCUUUGGAGAUGGGAAAAUUACUUACCUGUAUUUCUUUUUCUCAGAAAGCGUGCUCUGGAAUGGAUUCACAAAUGAGCUACCCUCCUUCCCUCAAAGAGUAAGGUUUCUGCUUUACAGGAUUUUUUUCUUGGGUUAUUUUUCCUCUCAUCUUUUGAAUUUGAAAAGAACUGAGGGAAGGCACCUGAAGAAACUACUGACAUACUCACUAGGGGAGUUCCAAAGCUUGUGCUGCCCCUAGGGGCAGUGUCAAUGGCUCUUAAAGCUAGAAAGCUCAUACUUGGAGUUGAAACAGGGGCUCAAAGAAUCCAUUUUCCCAGUGUACCUUCUGAAAGGAUAAGUUUCAGGUCAAAGGUUCCGUUACAGUUACUAUGAUGAAUCCCAGGGGGAGAUUUAUAGAUCCAUUGAACAUCUAGAUAAAAUGGGUAUGAGUAUUAUAGAACAAUUAGACCCUGUAUCUUUUAGCAAUUACUUGAAGAAAUACCAUAAUACUAUAUGUGGAAGACAUCCCAUUGGGGUGUUAUUAAAUGCUAUCACAGAGCUCCAGAAGAAUGGAAUGAAUAUGAGUUUUUCGUUUUUGAAUUAUGCCCAGUCGAGCCAGUGUAGAAACUGGCAAGACAGUUCAGUGAGUUAUGCAGCUGGAGCACUCACGGUCCACUGAAGCUCUGAAUCCUCAGGGAUGCCACCUGCACAUUCUCAUACUCUGUCCGGGGUCCCAGCCUAGCCUUUACCACGAUACUGGUCCUGGUUUGGGGGGAUUCUGAAACCUCAAACUAAUAGAACUUUCUUCUCUUUUUUUCUAGUAGGUGUAGUCCUUCCUUAAUUUCAACUCAUUAAAAAAUGCUUUAUAGUUUAGGGCAGUGGAAGGAAGGCUGGCAUCAAAAUAUUUUGAUCAAAAAAGAUGACAAUGUAAAGGCUCAGUUGUGGCAGACAGUUUUUUGAAAGUAACUUGUAAAGCAUUUACCAUAUCCUAAAUUUGCACUCUUUGCAGACUUGUGCACAUAUAUUCCGCUUUCAGAAUAGUUUUGCAAAUUGUACACAAAC